rnacentral:lncRNA from 1 species
AUUACACCAUGCAAAAAAGGCUGGUGUGGAGGAGAGGGCAGGUUGAGUCCAGGCUGGUCCAGGAGGAGAGGGCAGGGACAAAGGAGAAAAGCAGCCACUUCUUGGCCAAAAUAUCAGAAGAACAGUCGGAUCAAUCACACAAUCUUCCUAUUCUAACCCGAUAACCCUGUAGGACCUAUCAGGUCCAUCUGUAGAGCUGGGCAACAUCAUCCUCUCGCCAUUCUACUCCCAAGUGCAGUGGCUUAAAAGGUGAGUGCAAUGGGAAAGUGAAUAAAUGCUCUGGAACUCUCUGAUAAAAUAAUGAAGAAAUGUGG